UACGUAGGGGACGAGCGUUGUCCGGAAUUACUGGGUGUAAAGGGCGUGUAGGCGGGGAUGCAAGUCAGAUGUGAAAUUCCGGGGCUCAACCCCGGCACUGCAUCUGAAACUGUGUCUCUUGAGUGCUGGAGAGGAAAGCGGAAUUCCUAGUGUAGCGGUGAAAUGCGUAGAUAUUAGGAGGAACACCAGUGGCGAAGGCGGCUUACUGGACUGUAACUGACGUUGAGGCUCGAAAGCGUGGGGAGCAAACAGGAUUAGAUACCCGCGUA
rnacentral:rRNA from 1 species